CGGGGGGAGCAAGCGUUGUUCGGAUUUACUGGGCGUAAAGGGCGCGUAGGCGGCCAGCGCAAGUCAGUUGUGAAAUCUCCGGGCUUAACUCGGAAAGGUCAACUGAUACUGCGCGGCUAGAGUGCAGAAGGGGCAACUGGAAUUCUCGGUGUAGCGGUGAAAUGCGUAGAUAUCGAGAGGAACACCUGCGGCGAAGGCGGGUUGCUGGGCUGACACUGACGCUGAUGCGCGAAAGCCAGGGGAGCGAACGGGAUUAGAUACCCCGGUAGUCUUGGCCUUAAACGAUGGAUGCUUGGUGUCUGGAGUUUUAUAGUCUCCGGGUGCCGCAGCUAACGCGUUAAGCAUCCCGCCUGGGGAGUACGGUCGCAAGACUG
rnacentral:rRNA from 1 species